GGUUUAAUUCGAAGCAACGCGAGAACCUUACCAGGCCUUGACAUGCAGAGAACUUUCCAGAGAUGGAUUGGUGCCUUCGGGAACUCUGACACAGGUGCUGCAUGGCUGUCGUCAGCUCGUGUCGUGAGAUGUUGGGUUAAGUCCCGUAACGAGCGCAACCCUUGUCCUUAGUUACCAGCACGUUAUGGUGGGCACUCUAAGGAGACUGCCGGUGACAAACCGGAGGAAGGUGGGGAUGACGUCAAGUCAUCAUGGCCUUUAUGACCAGGGCUACACACGUGCUACAAUGGUCGGUACAAAGGGUUGCCAAGCCGCGAGGUGGAGCUAAUCCCAUAAAACCGAUCGUAGUCCGGAUCGCAGUCUGCAACUCGACUGCGUGAAGUCGGAAUCGCUAGUAAUCGUGAAUCAGAAUGUCACGGUGAAUACGUUCCCGGGCCUU
rnacentral:rRNA from 1 species